rnacentral:rRNA from 1 species
GACGAACGCUGGCGGCGUGCUUAACACAUGCAAGUCGAACGGAAAGGCCCUGCUUUUGUGGGGUGCUCGAGUGGCGAACGGGUGAGUAACACGUGAGUAACCUGCCCUUGACUUUGGGAUAACUUCAGGAAACUGGGGCUAAUACCGGAUAGGAGCUCCUGCUGCAUGGUGGGGGUUGGAAAGUUUCGGCGGUUGGGGAUGGACUCGCGGCUUAUCAGCUUGUUGGUGGGGUAGUGGCUUACCAAGGCUUUGACGGGUAGCCGGCCUGAGAGGGUGACCGGCCACAUUGGGACUGAGAUACGGCCCAGACUCCUACGGGAGGCAGCAGUGGGGAAUAUUGCACAAUGGGCGGAAGCCUGAUGCAGCAACGCCGCGUGCGGGAUGACGGCCUUCGGGUUGUAAACCGCUUUCGCCUGUGACGAAGCGUGAGUGACGGUAAUGGGUAAAGAAGCACCGGCUAACUACGUGCCAGCAGCCGCGGUGAUACGUAGGGUGCGAGCGUUGUCCGGAUUUAUUGGGCGUAAAGGGCUCGUAGGUGGUUGAUCGCGUCGGAAGUGUAAUCUUGGGGCUUAACCCUGAGCGUGCUUUCGAUACGGGUUGACUUGAGGAAGGUAGGGGAGAAUGGAAUUCCUGGUGGAGCGGUGGAAUGCGCAGAUAUCAGGAGGAACACCAGUGGCGAAGGCGGUUCUCUGGGCCUUUCCUGACGCUGAGGAGCGAAGGCGUGGGGAGCGAACAGGCUUAGAUACCCUGGUAGUCCACGCUGUAAACGGUGGGUACUAGGUGUGGGGUCCAUUCCACGGGUUCCGUGCCGUAGCUAACGCUUUAAGUACCCCGCCUGGGGAGUACGGCCGCAAGGCUAAAACUCAAAGGAAUUGACGGGGCCCCGCACAAGCGGCGGAGCAUGCGGAUUAAUUCGAUGCAACGCGUAGAACCUUACCUGGGUUUGACAUGGAUCGGGAGUGCUCAGAGAUGGGUGUGCCUCUUUUGGGGUCGGUUCACAGGUGGUGCGUGGCUGUCGUCAGCUCGUGUCGUGAGAUGUUGGGUUAAGUCCCGCAACGAGCGCAACCCUUGUUCACUGUUGCCAGCACGUUAUGGUGGGGACUCAGUGGAGACCGCCGGGGUCAACUCGGAGGAAGGUGGGGAUGACGUCAAGUCAUCAUGCCCCUUAUGUCCAGGGCUUCACGCAUGCUACAAUGGCUGGUACAGAGAGUGGCGAGCCUGUGAGGGUGAGCGAAUCUCGGAAAGCCGGUCUCAGUUCGGAUUGGGGUCUGCAACUCGACCUCAUGAAGUCGGAGUCGCUAGUAAUCGCAGAUCAGCAACGCUGCGGUGAAUACGUUCCCGGG